rnacentral:tRNA from 14 species
GCUGGAGUGGCGCAAUUGGCAGCGCAACGCACUUGUAAUGCGUAGGUUGAGAGUUCAAGUCUCUUCUCCAGCUCAA